rnacentral:rRNA from 1 species
GAUGAACGCCGGCGGCGUGCCUAAUACAUGCAAGUCGAGCGAACGGAUAAGGAGCUUGCUCCUUUGAAGCUAGCGGCGGAUGGGUGAGUAACACGUGGGUAAUCUACCUAUAAGACUGGAAUAACUUCGGGAAACCGGAGCUAAUGCCGGAUAACAUUUGGAACCGCGUGGUUCUAAAGUAAAGAUGGUUUUGCUAUCACUUAUAGAUGGACCCGCGCCGUAUUAGCUAGUUGGUAAGGUAACGGCUUACCAAGGCAACGAUACGUAGCCGACCUGAGAGGGUGAUCGGCCACACUGGAACUGAGACACGGUCCAG